AAACAUUAGAUGGACUCCACACUUAUGGACUCCCACAUCGAAUGUGAAAUCUCUCAUAGAUUCCAAACCAACAUAGAAUUGAAAUGAGGCCUCCCUGAUACAGAAUUUCUUGGAAUUAAAAUGAAUAGUGGAAUACCAAAGGGAGAUGUGAUGUAUUUUGCCCAAAAAGCAACGGGAAUAUGCUUUGAAGCUAUCUCCAGACUCAGUUAUGAAGCGACAUUCGCAUGAAAUAACACCCAUGAAUUUACGAGAAUAAUUAGCAGCUUCAGGUGCUAAGAGAGCACAAAAAAGGAUCUUGACGAAGGGGGUAGCAUGUGAAUGAGGACUGGGUGCUGUGAGAAAGCAUGACAAUAAAGAUCCAUUAUCAUUUUUAUACA
rnacentral:misc_RNA from 1 species